AACGCAAAUUGCACUUUCUGGUAUUCCGGAAAGUAUGCCUGUUUGAGGGUCAGUUAAAUAAAAAUCGGUGUUGUUGCUGCCUUUCGUGGUGACGCGUCGGAAUUGGGUCGUCUUACCCUUGGUUAAGUGACUUAAAAUUUUGUAUGAUUUUCGAACGUAUUUAAAUUGCUUACGUACGUUUGAGAUAUCGAAUGUUUAUUAGGUUCGGUCAUCCUCAUGACCCGCGCCUAUAAUUUUUCAUUAAAUGACCUCAAAUCAGGUAAGAAUACCCGCUGAACUUAA
rnacentral:misc_RNA from 1 species